rnacentral:rRNA from 1 species
CUGCAGCUCGAGUGGUGGCCGCUAUUAUUGGGCCUAAAACGUCCGUAGCCGGUUUAGUAAAUGCCUGGGUAAAUUGUAUAGCUUAACUAUACGAAUUCCGCGUAGACUGCUAAACUUGGGACCGGGAGAGGCUAGAGGUACUCCUGGGGUAGAGGUGAAAUUCUGUAAUCCUAGGGGGACCACCAGUGGCGAAGGCGUCUAGCCAGAACGGGUUUGACGGUGAGGGACGAAGCCCUGGGGCGCAAACCGGAUUAGAGACCCGAGUAGUCC